GGGACAGAAGGAAGGAAGCUGGUGCUGAGUGUUUCAGUAUGGACCAUGAGCUUCUGGUUGCCAACUUCCAGUGGGGAAGAGUGCCCACUAGUGACUGGCAUCACAAGGAGGCUACCUGGUCUGGGUGCUUCCUAAAACUGCUCAACAUAGGUGGGGAGACUGUACAAGAAAGACAUUUAUUUUGAACAAUUGUGAGGAUUUGACAUCGUAAUCACUCUCAUAAAUACAGCACUGCUUAGGGGCUGUCAUGUGCAAUCUCAUAUCUCUGAUAAUUCUCCAGGAAUACUGUCAGACACCUAUCCAGUUACUGGGAGGAAACUAAUGUUAAAUAAAUUUCUCCAGAUUGUAUUGCUGUUACAAGAGAGGGAAAGACUAGACUUCCUGCCCUCUCUGUCUGGCUGCUUUUCAUACUUGGGAACCCUCAACAUGGGUAAAUCUGAAGGCUGCCGAUGAAAAAAUAAAUGUAGUAAAAUAAGUGUUUAGGUAGGAAGGAAGGAAUGCAGUGUGUGCUGUUGUUUCUCUUUUGCGUGGGGACUGCUUCGAGUUGAAAGUGGUAGUGGACACACUCGUGAAACCAAGAAAGGGAAAAAGAUCCAUGUGCAGAACGAAGUUGGAGAAACGGGUUAGGAACUAAUGUGGAAUCCUUCACUGAUGAGAUCACUGGGUGAAUCUGUUGGGGGGUCAGCCUACCUGGGUCGGUCAACUCAAGGGACGUGAGCUGACCUGAGAGAUGCAACGGAUUGUGUGGCUUUGUUCAUGCACAGGUCAGAGGAGCUUUCACAAGGCAUUUUAUGAGCAGGGGCACCACGUGCAGAGUAAAACUUUGGCGGCACUGAGUACAUUUUUAAAGAGAAGUAAUACUUAUUUUGGGGAGCCCACUGAGGAGAUUCUUGAAGGUCUUGAACUAUAAGCUUCAGCCCUAGAGAGAGUAAUGAGGUGAUCAAAGAGAAGCUGUUCAGGAGAUAGAAAAAUGUUCAAUGGACUGAGCUUUCAAAGCAAUGGAGAGAGAAGUGGUUCUGGUGUGAAUAGUCUCACUACCACUAUAGUUACAAAAGAAAAAUCUAUUUGUGUUGGAUUUUUACCAACUUCUAGACAUUUUGACUUGGGCCUCAGAUAUGUUAAGAACUCUCUUUCUCUCCCUCUCCCUUAAAAUAAUGGGGAAGGUGUGGGAUGAUGUACCCUCAAGACUCCAUGGAACUGUGAGAUCCUGUAAUUCUAAAAAUUAACUCUGAGAUCUGGAAAGUUAUAUAGGAUAACAACAAACAAAUGAAAAA
rnacentral:lncRNA from 1 species